rnacentral:rRNA from 1 species
UACAGAGGUCUCAAGCGUUGUUCGGAUUCAUUGGGCGUAAAGGGCGCGUAGGCGGCGGGGUAAGUCGGGUGUGAAAUCUCAGAGCUCAACUCUGAAACUGCACUCGAUACUGCUCUGCUUGAGGACUGGAGAGGAGACUGGAAUUCACGGUGUAGCAGUGAAAUGCGUAGAUAUCGUGAGGAAGACCAGUGGCGAAGGCGGGUCUCUGGACAGUAACUGACGCUGAGGAGCGAAAGCGUGGGUAGCAAACAGG